GAUGAACGCUGGCGGUAUGCCUAACACAUGCAAGUCGAACGAAAUCUUCGGAUUGAGUGGCGGACGGGUGAGUAACGCGUGAGAAUCUGCCUUCAGGAUGGGGACAACAGUUAGAAAUGACUGCUAAUACCCAAUGUGCCGCAAGGUGAAAGUUUUUCGCCUGAAGAGGAGCUCGCGUCCGAUUAGCUAGUUGGGGUGGUAAAAGCGCACCAAGGCAACGAUCGGUAGCUGGUCUGAGAGGAUGAGCAGCCACACUGGGACUGAGACACGGCCCAGACUCCUACGGGAGGCAGCAGUGGGGAAUUUUCCGCAAUGGGCGCAAGCCUGACGGAGCAAUACCGCGUGAGGGAGGAAGGCUUUUGGGUUGUAAACCUCUUUUCUCAAGGAAGAAGAACUGACGGUACUUGAGGAAUCAGCAUCGGCUAACUCCGUGCCAGCCGCCGCCGUAACAC
rnacentral:rRNA from 1 species